UGAAAAGGCUCGUCCUUCAACUUAAGUAUUUUUACUUCCUGGAAAAGUUAAAAGUGCUUCCUUUCAAGUUUUGUGCCGCGUGAUAAGAAAAGAAUGACUAAAUAACUGGUAGCUACAAGGAUAGAAUUAUCCAAGAUGGACUUUAUCCCUGAGGAUGUUGAUCAACCGUUCAUUGGAAGAGCAGAUUUCCUGAAUUCAUUGUGCAGUGCUUGGAUGAGAAACCGAGUGUUUGGAAUCUUUGGUCAGAAGUCUGUUGGCAAGUCGAGGACGGUGAAGGAAUUCUUGAAGAGACUUCAGUCUGAUGUUGGAGAUGACGGCAGCCUGAGAAUCAUCUCUGUUGACCUGCAGGGUGUCACAUCCAUGGAGACUCUUCGCUUGAAGAUCUUGCUUCCGCUAGGUUUCAUCAAUGAGGUCUGGAACGAUGCUGAUGACUGGGUCUUACAGAUGUAUGACAAAAUUAACACUGACACUCGUCAUGCCUACAUACUGUCAUUUGACAAUGCUGAAGACUGCUUGAACAGUACAGUGAAAGAUGAGUUUAUAUCAACCUGCAGUACCAUCAUAUCGACUUGUCAAAAUACUAGGAUAAUUUUUUCAUCAACGACCAAAAUUGCCCGUGGCUUUCCAUUUUUCUUCUGGCAAGAGUUACCUCCCAUGAACACUACAGAUGGAUCACAGCUAAUCAAGUCCAUUGCACCUUUUGUUGAUUUUGGAGAAUACCUUGAAAAAAUUGUUGAACUGUGUUGUGGACUUCCAUUAGCCAUAACUAUUGCAGGAUGUGAGCUGAGCCAGUCAGAAGGAAUAUCGUUCACUCCAGCAGAGAUGGUUGACAUCCUCAGUCAGUGUAGACUUAGAGCACUCAGUUCAGAAAGCUAUGCUUCAGAGGAACAAGUUGGAUCUGUUUACAGGAAGUUUAUUGAGCAGCUAACAAGGGAAUUCCAGCAGAGACUUGCUGUGUUGGGAUACAUCCCAGGAUCCUUCACAGACGUGGAGGCCAGUCAACUACUGGGUUAUAAUACUUCUAGUGAAACCCGUCAGCAGACAUUAAGUCCUCUGCUGAGACGUAACGUGAUACAGGUUGAUCCUAAAACCAGGAGAUACAACAUCCAUGGUAUUCUGCAGGACUGCCUCGAAGUUUAUUUCAACCUUGAGAACCUUCCUGAAAUACGAAAGCGCUACUGCAUUACAUUCAGUCGGGUUCUGCAUGAGCUGAGUUGCCAGAUGGAGACAACCGAGUAUCUGGAAGCAUACGCUGCGUUUAUCCAGGAAUAUCCCAACCUGCAGAAGCUGCUGACCAACGUGAUCCAUUCAACAGAGGAGAUGUUCCCCUUCUACAUCGAAAUGGCGGCCACAUCCUCAAAUCUCAUCAUAGAGUUCUUUGGCAAUGAAAGCAUCCAGUUUUUCACCAAAUGUUUUGAGCUAGCACAGUUGUAUGGGAAGCAGAGAGACCAGGCUCUGGCGAUGACACACUACGGUCGAACUCUGACCAAUGUCAAGUGUGAUUUUGUAGGAGGAAGAAAAAUGUUAACAAUGGCUGUCAACAUCCUGGAGUUGUCUCCCCCUUCAGAGUCUUUGGCUUCUGUUACACUUAGUUUGGGUUGGACGGUUUAUCUCCAGGGCCAGAUUCCAGAAGCUAUUAAACAUUUCAGCAGAGGACUUGCGGUCGUUCAAGAAGCAGAAUGUGAAGACAGUCUUACCUUGUGCAAACUGCUCAACUGUCUGGGUCUAGCUAACAUGUUAGAGGUCAUUCACUAUGGACUCCAUGUAUAAUCUCUUGGUUAUUAGUUUAAUAAUUAGUAUGCACCACCACCUACCUAGCUUGGUUUUAUUUAAAUGCUACUAUUUUAAAGCUGAAAAUUCUAGUUUUAAAAAAAAUCUAACAAUUUAGAAACAUUAAUGUUCUUACCAUCACGCACCAUUCUUUGAUAUUGUUUGGCUACGCUCACUAUCUGCAUGUGUUGCAGUGGGUAUUGAAGUGGGUUGCUCUUACAUUGGCAAUUGUAAUACAAUAUAUUUAAUAACAUAGUCUAGACUUAGUAACAGACUUGUUAAAAGUUGUAUUUGAAGGCUGCUGACAAUAACCAUGCGCUGAUAGCAAUAACAUACAAAUUUAUUAAAACUGUAGUUGUUUUUAUUUUAAAUGAGUAACUGGUAUUAUAAUAUGGUGAAGUGAAGAUUGUGAGUUUAUUAAGACUUGUUUUUUGUGUUUCUGUUCUGCAACUGAUGUCAUUAUAUGGUGAGGCAAGAUUGGGGCAGUAUAAUAAACUUGUGUGUUUUACUAUAAAGAGGUAUAUUCAGCUACAUGUGUGCCUUCAUGUUACAUAACACUUUUUGAAAUACAUCAUAACAUGUAGGUCUUGCUUUGUCUGACGUACAGUAGCAUAUAAUCACCUCGAACAGAAGCACCAUACACCUAUUUUUACUUUUUGAACUUAAGAUGACUAACAACUUAUUCAAAGUGCCCAUUGUUGAGCGAAUAUACAUGUAAUAGUGUGGAGCAAAAUAUCUCUGUAUUCAUCAGGGUUUGGGACAUGGGGUUUUUCAGCUAGCUGCUAAGAGAAGUGUUGGUAGAAGAAAAAUAAACCGGAUGAUCUCGUCUUAAUGUUUAAAAUAUAGUUGAGAUUGCUUAUUUAGGACAUUUAUUAUAGCCAUUUGGUGUUAAGUGUUAUGGACAUUUUUGGGCAAUAUUUUGCAUGAGGCCAGAAAAUAUACCCUGUAGCUUGGCAUGUUAGACCAUCCUUCUUUGGUAUUUAACCUUUUACUUAAUUAACUUAGAGGUUUUAUGUGCACAUUCAGAGCAAGUUGUUGUAACACUCGGCUAACUGUUUACAUUGUUCAUCUCUUUCAUUCUGACCAUCUACAUGUACCGACCUAUGCACCAUCCAUCUAUUCAUUCAUUCAUCGACAUCUAUCCAUUGAUCCAUCAAUUCAUCCAUCCAUCCAAUGCAUGAUGCAUGUUCAUUUAAUUGCACUUGACAAAGGAAGCUGCAUAUCACCAUGCAAAUACUCUUUGCUGACUAACCAAUCAAAAUGAUGCAUUUCAUAAUGAACACUGUUCCAAAAUGUCCUCCUUUACGAAGCAUCUGCAAGAUUGGAAACCUCAACGAGGCUGAAAAAUAUUUGUUCAGUGCUUUGAGAAAAUUCAGACGGAAGUUUGGUGACAUGCAUCCUUCUGUUGGGUCCGUCUAUAACAACAUCAGUUUAUUGAUGGGCAAUA